CCGGGAGGUCGGACGCUCGGCACAAAGCCGGCUUGGUCCGCGCGGCCGGCCACACGACGCGCGCUGACCCGGCUGCCGUCGCUCGCCGGUGUUCCCGCGUCCACCUGGAACUCUUCGAGAAAGACAAACGCGGUUCCUCCUACUUUAGAGCAAGUCUGGGCCAGCUGGGAGCCGACCAGAAACCGCAAGCGAAGGAGACGCGGGCGCUCCGGGUGAGCGCUGAGGGAGGGGGCGACACACAGUCCUGCGGCUGCCCAGGAUAGCGCUCCAGGCACGCAGGAGGGGAAGGUCGGUGGACAUCUCUGUGCGGCACCGAAGGGAGGGCCACUGCUUACUUCUCAGCUCUAACCGCAGCCCUCCAGCACGGACCUCGAACUUCAUAGCAAAUCUACACCCACGCUGUCCCCCGACCCAUUGUGACCCGGCAUUCUCCCUCCUAUCCCAGUGACACUCACACAAGCCGCUCUAUUUCUAGAAAGGGAAACUCUUUCUGAAGGCAGGGCAAGAACAGUCCCAAUGAAUCAAGGUUUCUUAUUGACCCCAAGUCUGCCUGCAGGCCUCUCUGCGUGGGAGUAAGUAGGUCAAAGCGGCCACUGAACUUGGAGUAAACUUGAAUUCCCUUUAAAGUUACAAUAAAAGUAUGUAUAUAUUCAUCACAUCACUCACAACAUCUUUCCUGUCUAAUGCAGCAGCAAGACCAGUAAGUAUUUUACUUCAGCUUUUUGGAAAGUUCAUCUAGACAUACAAAGCAAAGACUGGAAAUUUCUACAGACAGUCACGAACCUUGGAGUUGUUUGCACCAGUUUGUCCUGCCCUCUUGAUCUGCCAAACCACUGAGCAGUUCCUGUGUACACUGCAUCCUGCCUUGGGAUAGAUACAAGGCUAGGGCCAGAGUGGGAGUCAAGCCAUUAGCUACAAUGAAUAGAGGAGGAGGAAGAGGCUGGAAGGUCAUCUAGUAUGCUCAAUUCAGGUCUACAUUGCGCUUCCCAUGUUGCGGCUGAUGCACUGCAAGACCCUGAGUGAUUCACUUAAUCUUUCUGAACUUAACUUUCAUCAAUGAAAC
rnacentral:lncRNA from 1 species